GUCCACGCCGUAAACGAUGUCGAUUUGGAGGCUGUGUCCUUGAGACGUGGCUUCCGGAGCUAACGCGUUAAAUCGACCGCCUGGGGAGUACGGCCGCAAGGUUAAACUCAAAUGAAUUGACGGGGCCCGCACAAGCGGUGGAGCAUGUGGUUUAAUUCGAUGCAACGCGAAGAACCUUACCUACUCUUGACAUCCACAGAAGCCAGUAGAGAUACAGGUGUGCCUUCGGGAACUGUGAGACAGGUGCUGCAUGGCUGUCGU
rnacentral:rRNA from 1 species